UACGGAGGGUGCGAGCGUUGUCCGGAAUCACUGGGCGUAAAGGGCGCGUAGGUGGCGCGGGCAGUCAACGGUGAAAGUUCGGGCUCAACCCUGAAUCGGCCGUCGAUACUCCCGUGCUUGAGCACUGUAGAGGCAGAUGGAAUUCCGGGUGUAGCGGUGGAAUGCGUAGAGAUCCGGAAGAACACCGGUGGCGAAGGCGGUCGCUGGGCAGUAGCUGACACUGAGGCGCGACAGCGUGGGGAGCAACA
rnacentral:rRNA from 1 species